rnacentral:rRNA from 1 species
CUACGGGUGGCACCAGUGGGGAAUCUUGCGCAAUGGACGAAAGUCUGACGCAGCGACGCCGCGUGGGUGAUGAAGGCCUUCGGGUCGUAAAGCCCUGUUCUGGGGGAAGAAACCACUUCGGUGCUGACGGUACCCCAGAAGAAAGCACAGGCUAACUCCGUGCCAGCAGCCGCGGUAAUACGGAGUGUGCUAGCGUUGUUCGGAUUUACUGGGCGUAAAGCGCAUGUAGGUGGCUUGACAAGUCGGAUGUGAAAUCCCGUGGCUCAACCUCGGAACUGCAUUCGAAACUGUCUUGCUUGAGUCCGGGAGGGGGUUGCGGAAUUCCGUGUGUACAGGUGAAAUUCGUAGAUAUACGGAGGAACACCCGUGGCGAAGGCGGCAACCUGGACCGGUACUGACGCUGAGAUGCGAAAGCGUGGGGAGCAAACAGGAUUAGAUACCCGGGUAGUC